rnacentral:rRNA from 1 species
UACGGAGGUGGCAAGCGUUGCUCGGAAUCACUGGGCGUAAAGGGCGCGUAGGCGGGGAGGUAAGUCGGGUGUGAAAUCCCUCGGCCCAACCGAGGAACUGCGCCCGAGACUGCUUCUCUUGAGUCCCGGAGAGGAAGAUGGAAUUCCCGGUGUAGUGGUGAAAUGCGUAGAUAUCGGGAGGAACACCAGUGGCGAAGGCGGGUCUCUGGACAGUUCCUGACACUGAGGCACGAAGGCCAGGGGAGCAAACGGG